CCUAACCUACGGGGGGCAGCAGUGGGGAAUAUUGCACAAUGGGGGAAACCCUGAUGCAGCAACGCCGCGUGGGUGAAGAAGUAUUUCGGUAUGUAAAGCCCUAUCAGCAGGGAAGAGAAUGACGGUACCUGACUAAGAAGCCCCGGCUAACUACGUGCCAGCAGCCGCGGUAAUACGUAGGGGGCAAGCGUUAUCCGGAUUUACUGGGUGUAAAGGGAGCGUAGGCGGCGAUGCAAGUCAGAAGUGAAAGCCCGGGGCUCAACUCCGGGACUGCUUUUGAAACUGUGUUGCUAGAUUGCAGGAGG
rnacentral:rRNA from 1 species